GUGGAACCAAUAAUGUCUUCAGGCUCUUAUUCUCUUCAUUUCUUAAUGUUUUUCAUCUAUCAGUUAUGAUAGGGUUAGUGUUUCCCUGAAGCUUCUACUUUCCUCCUGGUUACAACAUAGAGAAACUUUAUCAAAGAGAAGACAAAGCUACCCUUAGGACCUGAUUGGCCUAUGUAAUUUUCUUAACCUUCCCUGACACAGAUUUCUGGUCAUCUAAGGGUGUAAAAAGUCCCAGUCAUGUGGAAUCUAGACCCUUUGAACUUAAUGAACAUCUGAAGCCUGGGUACAGGUGACAGAGUCCCUGGUUCUGCAAUCAUGAAACAAGAAGACCUGGGAGUAAACAUUACAGAAAAGUAUGGUGGACCUCAGGCCAUUUGUUUAUGAGGAAAGAAACUAAACAGGAAAAAAAAAGACUGAUUAAGUCAAGUUUAAAAAAAACCCACCACUUUUUCAGGGUUGGAAUAUUCUUCCUCUCCAUCUCCACCUUCUAGCUGCCUUGGAUCCCUUCAAACAGUGGCUAGAGUUCUGGCUUCUGCAAGUAAACUUUCCUAGUCCUUUAGAACCUUAGAACCUUCCCUUUGUUGAUAAACAUCAUUUAUCCAUGUGUG
rnacentral:lncRNA from 1 species